rnacentral:rRNA from 1 species
GGAUCAAUAUAUUGGUCAUGCUUAGGUAUGUACUGGUAUUAUUGAUUUCUCCCUUCUGAAGAACCAUGAUGUCAUUAAUUUGAUGUCGUGGGGAAUCAGGACUGUUACUUUGAAAAAUUAGAGUGUUUAAAGCAGGCUUUCGCUUGAAUACAUUAGCAUGGAAUAAUGAAAUAGGACGUUUGAUUCUAUUUUGUUGGUUUCUAGGAUCGACGUAAUGAUUAA